AGCGAGAUGGCGCAGCUGGUAGCGUGCUGGGCUCAUAACCCAGAGGUCGUCGGAUCGAAACUGACUCUCGCUA
rnacentral:tRNA from 1 species